CCCUAGCCUAACCCUAGUUCCCCCUAACCUCCAUACGCCUUCCUCCUCGGAAUCCACGCCGAUCCACCCCGCCUCUGACACUUGGUGCUGCCUGAGCGGCCAGCAACGCCGCAGCCGCCGCCCUCCUCCAACCGGGUGCUGCCACGUGGCCUCCCUGCCUCUCCCUUCGCCGCGGCCCGUGCAAGCCCAUCGGGGCCCGACCGCGUCGCUGCCCGCAUGAUGCCUCGCUCCCGAGUUCCAGAUCGGGAGAGGAGCUCCCGAUCCAGAGCCCCGCCGCCAGUGACCGGAACUCGCCGUAGAUGGGUGCUCGGGAACCGCCGCCACCGCCUUGGUCUUCCCCGACCGCGCCGCCAUGGAUGCCCGUCUCCGCCUCUGGUUGGAUCCGGCCGAGAACGGAGCCCCGCCGACCUCCCGUGGCCAGAUCCGCCUGCUCCCGAACCCGCCGACCUCUCCCCGUUGCCAGCGUCGUGUCGCCCUCGCCGGACGCCGCCGUUGUCCUGCUUCGAGGAGGAGCACGCCCCACUCAACCCUCUGCGUCGUUGACCGUGCCGCCAGGUGGGCCUCGCCCGCGGCCCAGCAGACCCACCCGUCCGCAUCGGGCCUCCCUCAGCCUGCUUCCUCGUCAUGGGCCGAGCCAACAUGGAGAUGGCCCCAUUCUAAGCAUCAUCAUUGUCCAUCCAAGCUCAAAAAGCAUAGCCCCCAGAUGUUGUAUUGCUACUCCCAACUCUGUCGACUCAUUCUGGAUCUGGCUUCGCACAGAUGUAUCACCAGUUGCAGCAUCUCUCUGAAUGGAGGUAAGUCUACACAAAAGUACGCAUUUAGCUCUUCCGUUGUCUAGUAAAUUAUUUGAGAGUAAAAAAUAAUUUAGAAGACACAAAGCUACAUCAUAGCACUGCAUCAUCAGUUGCCGACAAAGAAAGCAUGAAAUUCUAACAACAGAAAAGCAUCAACAGUCCUAUGAGAAUUGUGUUCAGAGAGUAAGAUGUGUUAUCAGGAAAAAAACACAUAAAAGUGAAAGAGGCAUGGUUGUAUAUAGAUAGAUCGAUAUAACCUUGUACAGUCGGUCUUCAACUACAACGCAGGUUCACUACAAUUACAAUGCCUCACAUGAAACCAAUGAUGAAAAGUAUACCAUCAACUGCUAAGCUAUCCAGAUUGCCUUGGAGAUAAGAUCUGCCUACGUUGUCCAGAAUGACAUCAAGGUCUGGUAGAGAUAUUCCACAUAUUACAGUCAGAAUGUAUAUGAAAUUGACGGGUAUAACUUGGUAAAGCCAAAUAAUUUUAUUUACUUUUGCAUCAGGGCAUCAAGUGUCACAAGAGGAUGGCACGAUAAUACCAUUUCCAUUAGUUUCUUCUUCGAUACGUGCUACAAAGGUUUUGUAGUUUUUGCAUAUAUCCACACCUUAAACGUCGCAAGCGACUAGUUUCUCUUUAGAUUUCUCGAGCGGCAUAACAGAUUUUCUUUCGGAAAACAUCUUUGUACCAUAUAUAUUGUAUUUAUCUGAACCAAUAAACCUGCAGUGAAAAAAACCUUGAUUCCAAGGCGCUUCGCAAUCUGUAUAGCAAAUGUGCCAAUUCUGCUUGAUCCACUGUGAAUCUGCAUACGACUGGAGAUAGGUCGACAAGAAAAAACAAAGGCAUGAAAAUUCUGUUCCAGUUCAAUUCUCACAACACCAAAUUGUGAACCUAUUUUUGCAUAGAAGUGAUUACUAAAUCAUUUCAUACUCCAUUAGAGUAGCACCAUUCAAUACUUUGUUAUUUUUCAGUUAGUCAGAGCAUGUCAAUUUGGUGAUGACUAAGGAAGAUUCACAUUCUGCAAUCCUAACGAACAAAUUAGCCAGAGAGAUUUUCUUAAAGGGAAGGGACUCAACUGGGGAGAUGGCUGGUCAUGAAGACGUGCAGGCCACCUCGGGCAAGCCGGCGGCAUCGGUCAGCGACACCCUCUCUAACAUCGGGAGCAACAGCCUCAGCGGCACCAUCACCUUCUCCGUGUACCUGCGUAAGCAACGAGAGCAGCUGCAUGACCUCAAGCCAAUACACAAUAUUUCAUGAAAUCAAUCAAUCAAUCAGUACACAAUAUUCUCUUAGUUGUCCCAAUCAAUCAGGAAUUGUGUACCUUUUGAACAGUUGUAGAAAAAUCCUUUUCUAGCCACUUUGUAUCUUUGAUGACUUCUUUUACUGGCCUCUCAUCAAUUUUGGCAUUCAAGAAAUUAGGAACCUACUCAAGUGGAAAUCAUCAAAUCAAUACUCCAAAGCACUGCCAGCAGAGUAGCCAUGUUUGUAAUCAUAUAUUCACCUGAGUUGUUGAAUGGUUUCCCAAAAUAGUCAUAUUUGUCACUCUAUCAUAAAACACACCAGCUUUUAGUGCUAGCUGCAAAAACACUAUCAAUGACAGAUUAGUCUUGUCUUCUGUUGAAAUAAAAUAACUGAAACAUAUCAGAAAUAAUUAAGAUUCAUUGAGAGUAUAACAGAUUAGUCUUGUCUUCUGUUGAAAUAAAAUAACUGAAACAUAUCAGAAAUAAUUAAGAUUCAUUGAGAGUAUAACACGUCAAGUAAAUGGUCGUGCCUGGUCCUUUCAACUGUAAACUGGUCUACUAUUUUUUUACUGACGACAGAAGUCAUAAGUUUCUUUUGCAGCUAGAUGAACAUACACAAGUUAUCUGAUGGCCUACAUACGACAAAAAAAUUAACAUAUGGAAGAAAAAUUAACAUUAUGACCAAGGCAGAAUAAAAGGACUGGAACUUGUAGUUUUGGGAACCUGGCUGGCAAAGACUAAUGCAAACUUUAUCCAUGACCGCAGGAUAAAGUUGGCAGUGGAUAAGUUCAAGAGAUAACAGAGUCUUUGCAUGGCAGCUCAGAAGCAGGUAUACACCAUUAACUUGUCCGUGGAAAUUGAUAAGUGUAUGAUUAUUUGAAACAAGUGUAUGAUCAUUGGUCACAUAGCUGACACAAAUUUGAUUUUGCAAAAAUGGAGGGAUAUUAGGAGAUAAAGUUUCAGUUUUUUUGUCACACCUAACCUUCUAAUUGAGCCAGAGCAAGAGCAGAGCAUGAGAGACCUUGAAGAGUCGGAGAGGAGCGGCGCUCUUGUCGUGUAGGUGGUGCUGACCUCCAUUUCCAGAUCCAGCAAUCUCCUCUCUCGUCUCCUCACUGAAGAAACCAACAUGGCCAUGUAAAUGCUUCAGUUUUGAGAAUCAGUGCACAUGAACUGUACAUGUUCGCUUGCAUACUGAAACUGAACAAAAGGGGGGGGGGGGGGGGGGGGGGGGUGCUACCUGCAGCAGGGAAGGGAGCAGGGACCUUGUGCGGGACAUAAGAGUAUUGAAUAUUGUGCUGAAAUAUGGAACAUUGGAUAAUCUGAUGUUAACAUUGCAUGGCAAAGACGAACCACACAGUUUUAGUGGUACAACACUAAAUUUCUACUUCUGAGUAUUGACGGUACAAUAUACUCAGAAGUUUAAUUUCUGCUACUGAAUAUUGACAGUACACCAGUAUUCAGUUUAUAUAAACAACAAUAUAUUCUUUGAUGUUUUA